rnacentral:rRNA from 2 species
CCAACGAGUGGCGGACGGGUGAGUAACACGUAGGUAACCUGCCCAGAAGCGGGGGACAACAUUUGGAAACAGAUGCUAAUACCGCAUAACAGCGUUGUUCGCAUGAACAACGCUUAAAAGAUGGCUUCUCGCUAUCACUUCUGGAUGGACCUGCGGUGCAUUAGCUUGUUGGUGGGGUAACGGCCUACCAAGGCGAUGAUGCAUAGCCGAGUUGAGAGACUGAUCGGCCACAAUGGGACUGAGACACGGCCCAUACUCCUACGGGAGGCAGCAGUAGGGAAUCUUCCACAAUGGGCGCAAGCCUGAUGGAGCAACACCGCGUGAGUGAAGAAGGGUUUCGGCUCGUAAAGCUCUGUUGUUAAAGAAGAACACGUAUGAGAGUAACUGUUCAUACGUUGACGGUAUUUAACCAGAAAGUCACGGCUAACUACGUGCCAGCAGCCGCGGUAAUACGUAGGUGGCAAGCGUUAUCCGGAUUUAUUGGGCGUAAAGAGAGUGCAGGCGGUUUUCUAAGUCUGAUGUGAAAGCCUUCGGCUUAACCGGAGAAGUGCAUCGGAAACUGGAUAACUUGAGUGCAGAAGAGGGUAGUGGAACUCCAUGUGUAGCGGUGGAAUGCGUAGAUAUAUGGAAGAACACCAGUGGCGAAGGCGGCUACCUGGUCUGCAACUGACGCUGAGACUCGAAAGCAUGGGUAGCGAACAGGAUUAGAUACCCUGGUAGUCCAUGCCGUAAACGAUGAGUGCUAGGUGUUGGAGGGUUUCCGCCCUUCAGUGCCGGAGCUAACGCAUUAAGCACUCCGCCUGGGGAGUACGACCGCAAGGUUGAAACUCAAAGGAAUUGACGGGGGCCCGCACAAGCGGUGGAGCAUGUGGUUUAAUUCGAAGCUACGCGAAGAACCUUACCAGGUCUUGACAUCUUGCGCCAACCCUAGAGAUAGGGCGUUUCCUUCGGGAACGCAAUGACAGGUGGUGCAUGGUCGUCGUCAGCUCGUGUCGUGAGAUGUUGGGUUAAGUCCCGCAACGAGCGCAACCCUUGUUACUAGUUGCCAGCAUUAAGUUGGGCACUCUAGUGAGACUGCCGGUGACAAACCGGAGGAAGGUGGGGACGACGUCAGAUCAUCAUGCCCCUUAUGACCUGGGCUACACACGUGCUACAAUGGACGGUACAACGAGUCGCGAACUCGCGAGGGCAAGCAAAUCUCUUAAAACCGUUCUCAGUUCGGACUGCAGGCUGCAACUCGCCUGCACGAAGUCGGAAUCGCUAGUAAUCGCGGAUCAGCAUGCCGCGGUGAAUACGUUCCCGGGCCUUGUACACACCGCCCGUCACACCAUGAGAGUUUGUAACACCCAAAGUCGGUGG